ACCCCCCUGAACAAGUGAAUCAGGAAUGCUGAAGGUUUAUGAUCGUAUCAUCCUCUGGAAAUCUGUGUAUGAUCGGCCCCUGAAUUUGAAUGAAGAUGACUAUCAUGAGUUAGCAUGAUUCCAAAGAGGAAAAAGAAGAUGAUAUGGUUCCGGUGAGUGAUUCUGGUGGCAAUAAUAGUGACGAAGAGGAUGUGGUUUCUGUUAGUGGUGGCAUAGAGGAGGAGGAGGAUGAAGCAGAUGAAGUUUUUACAGGUGCUGCUGCUCCUGUUGUUUUUCCUAUAUCCCGCCCCUCAAGUUGUUUGUGUUACUGAUGUGGGUGCUGCUGAGUAUGAGGACGAGGAGGCUGGUGCUGAUGAUGAAGAGGACAACAACGAGGAUGAGGAGGAUUCGUGGUAAAGAAUGACCUUUAGGUCGUGCAGAGAGGCAGAAGAUGAUGACAAAGUUUAUGAGGAGGAUAUUGAGAGUGAGGAGAAAGUCGAAGAUGGUAUUCUCUUUUAAUACCUUUUCAAUUUAUUUUUGUAGUGUAUUGUGUUGUUCUUACUAUGGCUGCAUAAAUUUUUGAUUGUUUUUCGCCUUAAUUUUUGUGUCAGAGUUUCAGGUAUCUUAGCUAAAACAAAGCUGUUUAUCUUUUUUCUGCAAAUCCGUAGUCUUAAGAACAAGCUUAUAUACGUGAACUGUAGGUUUCAUCUAGCUUGUUUAUACAAACAUUUGCAGUGGCACUUUGUUAAUCUCGUUCAAGUAAAGCAAGCAAGAUGCUUCCUGUAAAGCCUGUUAACUUUGUCUACCCCUUUCUAAUUCUAGUUCCUCUCUGGUCUUUUCAAAAUGACCGAUAAAGGGUUACGGUAUAGUUCUCUUUAUAACAUUUCUGGUCGUAUUGUCAUGUUUUCGCUUGUACUGAGAUACAGUUUUGUCCCUUAGUUUCCA